rnacentral:lncRNA from 1 species
GUUGCCUUUCCGUUCAUUUUGCUUUCACGCCUUUCUGCCUUCCUGACUCAUGGCUGUGUGGCCUCUGCUUGCAAUUUCUAUUUGCUGCGGUAACACCCCCUGGACAAGACAGGAGCGCCUGCAAGCACUGAUGCUUGCUGAUGCUUGCAGCUGCUUUUUAAGCUUCUUUUUUAAUUGAGCAUCUAAAGGCAGGAUAGCGACAGAGCGGAAAACAGCAGUGAUGCCUUUUGCCGUGGUAGGAAGUACGAAUGAAGUAUUCAGUGAAGGCAAAGCAGAAGAACCACAUCGGGCAGAGCCCCAGGGGCUGCAGCAGGGUCCCAAUGGGAGGUGGUCAUCUGCACAGCCGGGUGCCAGGCCGGGGGUGCCAGACCGGUUCCAGAGCUUGCUGGUCCCUAGGAAAUGCUUUCCCUUGCCCUUCCUUUGUCCCACAUCUGCCCUCUGUCUGGGAGGCCUUGGAGGUGCAGGCACUUUGCUGAUGGGAAGUGCAGCAUGAGCCCCACAAGCACUGAGCAUCCCAAGGCUGCUGUGAAUAGCCUCGUGCAAAAAGGAAAAGUGUCAGCAAUGUUUAAGCAAAUGUUUAACCCAAAUUGGACUUACAGACUGCACUAUUUCUGAAUGAGAAAUAUCUGCAGGAACACAGCCCUGAAUCAACACCCAGCUCUCUCUCUUACUGCACACCUGUGCUUUCACUAGGAACUCUGGCUGGCUUACUUUUUGCCUCUGCAAUAUUUUGCAACUUAAGGCAUAUUCUGUGACCAUUUCAAUCAUUUUUGACCCGAGUUCCUGAGUUUAUGUGCUGUUAUUUGUCCUGUGCUGAUGUUUGGAAAGAUCAGGCUUUCUCUGGGUCUCUUCUGGGUGCAUCUCACCAGCAGUAACACUGCUGAUUCCCCAUCGUAAGAGGAUUUCAGAUUCUCUCCCCCCUCCUUCCAGGGGGCAGUGAGGGACUGGGGAGCAUCGCUUCAUGGCCUGGUCAUUAGGACCCUGGUGAAACAGCUGCUUGUUUCUCAUAAACAAUUGUGCCGUGAGGGAAAUUGGCUUGUGUCUGUAUAUACUUUUUGGAUGGGGAAAAUUAAGCAGUAAUAGCUGGAAAAAUAGUAUGGGUUGUGAGAUAAUAGAUGCCUAAGGGAUGAAAUUAAGCAGUACUUUACAGUGAAGGAAGAGGUUUUGGCAAUGCGUCGUUUUCAUUGGGCUUCUUUUUGUUUGCCAGAGGACUGGUAUUGCUUUGGAGGGGUUGUCCUCUGACGUAUUUCACCAGCAGACAUCAGAGUAUUCUGCAGGUCCUUCUCUCCUCCAGGGGAGGGUGCAAUGUUCCUGCUGGCAGAAAGCCGGCGCUUGGUCCCGCAGCAUGGUGCCCGUUCCUGCUGCCCUCACCCUGCGUGCUGGCUGAGCUGCAGGAGGACAGCCAGAACCAUUAAGCUUAGAAAAGGGCACUAAGAUCAUCCAGUCCAACCAUCACCCCAUCACCAUGCCCACUAAACCGUGUCUGUGGGACUGCCAGCUUUCAACUCAGGAAACUCUCCUGGGGGGGACCCUAAGCAAAAAGGGGGCUCAGGGGGGAACCCUGAGGUGAGGGGCCGGUUGUUCCCAUACCUGCAGUGGGACUCGGGGCGUUGGGCACCCAUGCAAAUGAGGCUGCACUGCCUGGCACGUUGAAAACAAAGUCAUUAAGUAGCUGUUGCAUUAAGACUGCUUUUAUUCAUGGAGUGUAAUGUGAUUCAUUUGCCCUUUUGCUCUCAUGUUGAGAAGGCAGUCAUCUAGUAUGCAUCGCUGGCUGCUGGCUGCAGGGAGAGCUCUUUUUUUUUUUUUUUUAAACCUUUUUUUUUUGUGAGGGAGCAGACAUUUUCAUCAAGUGCAGUGGAGCUGCGGCGUUGUUCCUUUUUUUGGUAAGCAGCCCAAAGUGGAAGUGCUGAGCUCAGGCCAUCUCCUUGCCUCAAGGUCCUGUGAUCCUCCUUGUUGCUGUGCCAGAGGCAUGGCUGGUGGUACUGUGGGAGCCCUCCGACCUGGGCAACAUCCCUGGGGGUAGGCACAAGGGGCACACCGGGUCACAUGGCCGAGCUAGGGACCUGCAUGUCCCUUGGUGUCUCUGGGACACCCAGUGCCAGCAGGGCAUAGGGCAUGGGGUCUGCCCAGUGCAGGAUGAGAUGUGCGGUGAGACCCCAUUAUGUGGGGGUAUCUCUGAUAAUGGGUGAAGGAGGUGGUGGGUUCUUGGUGCUGCAGGUGGCUGCUUGCGGUUAGGUGAGAAGUUAAGUGCAGCCAAGGGAAAUCAGUCCUUCCCGGAGUUACAAUAGGAAACACGCCAAGCGAGGGAAGAGGGUAGAAUACGGAAAAACAGAAAAAUGUAAUUUUUUUUAAUGUUAACAUGGGGAGCAUUAACUAAGUCGCUAAUUUCAAGAGCAGCAAUCUGUAAGGCAGUUUGAGUCACUGCUUCUUGUGGUGGAUGGGAUCAGAGUGGCACAGCUCUGCACGUAGGAGCUGAACCUGCAAAGUAGGAAGCAAGAAAUUCCUUUUUAGCCUCAACAGUAGCGGCCAGCACUUCUUAAGCACAGAGAUCUGAAUGGUGUCUGAGCACUGCAUCAGAUUCCAAGCAGUUAUGAUGCCUGGCACAGGGACCAUCUCGAAGUCCUCAGGUGACCAUGGGCUUCUAAAGCUACAGGGUCAUACUACGUGUAAAAAUCAGUAAGGCAUAUUUCAGUAGCAAAUGGCAAGAGGAGAGUUACUGCAGUGCCUUGUCUGUCUCCCCUCCAUGACAAAGAAGCAGCAUGUUGGCCAAGCCAACACUAGGCAGGAGGCAGCCAAGCACAGCCCAGGGAGCGGGCCGGGAAAAGGCUGUUCUGCAGGAGCUGGGCCUUUCCUUUGGAGACUCUCCUAUACUGUGUUGAUGGAGAGGCGUAAGUAGAAUGGGUCUGGUGUGGCUAAAGAUAAGGAGAAGGGGUUUCCGGAAGAGCUCGGAGCCGAGAGCUGUUUGGGAGGAGGGAUUUUUUGCCUCUGAUGAUUUGGGUAGACAAAAGAGGAGAAGUGCUCGGAGCUGGGGAGGUAACAACACCAACCUUCCCUGCUCUUGUUUUCAAGCAAGAAAUGCACAAAUCGCCGCCGAUACUGCUGAGUGGUUUCCUGCUGCUUUGAGGCUUGAUUUGGAUCCGCUGUCAUUCCUAACCUGGUUCCCGUUUCCGUUGUAAUAGCACACAAAAGCAAGCAAAUCCUUGCCUGUGGAAUUGUAAUUGUUUUGUAAGUGCUGCCCGAUAGAAAGGCUGCUUCACAAACACCUUCACCUUGCAUCGUGCUUUAGAUCCUAAAUGGAUUUUGAAUAGAUUAAUGCAUUUCGGAGUGUUCUAGAAAGGUCAAAAACAGAAAAGAGGAUCUAAUAGCAGUGUAGCAGCCAGCUGGUUGCACUGGGUUUCAUUUUACUGCCAUAGUAACACUAUGAGCCACAGUGUUAAUACUGUGCCCACUGAAUGCCAUCUCCCCCCACCCCCCUUUUUUUUUUUUUUUUUUUUUUUGUUAGAAAGCAAGCCCAUAAGAAGAUAUUUUCUUCCUCAAGAAUUUCUAUAAAGCAGUAAUAGGCUUUUUGGAGGGGACUGUCCUCGUACCCAAAGAUGUAAGGUGGGUAAUUUACAAGGCAAUGUGCAAAUGCCAAAUUGUUAGGCAGAACUGCUGCUGAUUUAGAAGGCAGUUAAUGCUAUAAAUGUGCCAAGUGCCAGUAGAGUGUUUCUACAGAUGGAAUAACUGGAAAUAUUGGAGAGGUUCCAAAGGUUUAAUCAAAUUCAACCAGUCUUUUUUUCUUUUCUUUCUUUCUUUUUUUUUUUUUUUUUUUUUAACUGCAGAAUUCUCUAAGGGAUGCGAGUUGCAAUAGUAGAUUAUUCCAUUGCUUUUAGUACCGGGGGAGAUUUUCAUAGAGGCGCAUAAAGCUUUCAGGCAGUCAUGUCAGCAGGUACACAAUCAGGGCAACAGCAGCUAUUCUGUGAAAGCCUGCAUUGGUGGUGUUAGCGGGAGCAUCCUCUUCAGAUACCAUGGCAAGAGGGAUCUUAGAGGCAGACUGCUCUGCUGCACGAUGGCAGUGAGGGAAGGGGCGUGGAAGCAGCUGGCAGCAGAAU